rnacentral:rRNA from 1 species
AGCGGCGGACGGGUUAGUAACGCGUGGGAACMUMCCCUUUGGUACGGAAUAGCCUCUGGAAACGGAGAGUAAUACCGUAUGAGCCCUUCGGGGGAAAGAUUUAUCGCCAAAGGAUUGGCCCGCGUUAGAUUAGGUAGUUGGUGGGGUAAUGGCCUACCAAGCCUACGAUCUAUAGCUGGUUUUAGAGGAUGAUCAGCAACACUGGGACUGAGACACGGCCCAGACUCCUACGGGAGGCAGCAGUGGGGAAUCUUGGACAAUGGGGGCAACCCUGAUCCAGCCAUGCCGCGUGAGUGAUGAAGGCCUUAGGGUCGUAAAGCUCUUUCGCCUGUGAAGAUAAUGACGGUAGCAGGUAAAGAAACCCCGGCUAACUCCGUGCCAGCAGCCGCGGUAAUACGGAGGGGGUUAGCGUUGUUCGGAAUUACUGGGCGUAAAGCGCACGUAGGCGGACUGGAAAGUUGGGGGUGAAAUCCCAGGGCUCAACCCUGGAACUGCCUCCAAAACUAUCAGUCUAGAGUUCGAGAGAGGUGAGUGGAAUUCCGAGUGUAGAGGUGAAAUUCGUAGAUAUUCGGAGGAACACCAGUGGCGAAGGCGGCUCACUGGCUCGAUACUGACGCUGAGGUGCGAAAGUGUGGGGAGCAAACAGGAUUAGAUACCCUGGUAGUCCACACCGUAAACGAUGAAUGCCAGUCGUCGGGUAGCAUGCUAUUCGGUGACACACCUAACGGAUUAAGCAUUCCGCCUGGGGAGUACGGUCGCAAGAUUAAACUCAAAGAAUUGACGGGGGCCCGCACAAGCGUGGAGCAUGUG